rnacentral:lncRNA from 1 species
CUUGAUUUGCCAUGAAUAAUGUUAAGAAGAAAGUUAACCUUGUACAAACACUGACACUGCGGUGUCUAAAACCCUCAUACUAUUAGCUAGAGAAUAAGGGAUUGAAAUGUGUGUAUGGUCUGAACUUGAAUCCGAUGAUUGGGCUGGGUUUUGAAGAUAUUGCACUGAUAUUGCCAAGGUCAAUUUAUUGGCUAUCAUCUCAAAUUUUGUCAUAAAUUACUGAAUUUUGAUUUUGCUAUUUCUGUAGUUUUGUUUAUUGUUAAAAUACACAUUCACAUUAUUUGGGGUUGAGCUUAUAUUGGGGGUGUCAUUUGAAGUUAUGUUUUUAAACCAGAUCUGAAUUAAUUUCGAUUUUAUGUUAAUUUGGAUUAAUUUGCUCUAUUGUUAUAGUUCCAUUUGAGGUACAUCGCUGAAUUGAGAUUUUAUUCAACAGAAAUUUACUUUACAUGUAUACUUUUGGAAUUUUUUACUGGUUUUUAGUAAGUUAUUUUGGUUGAUAACUUGAAACCAAAUUCAUCGGCGUAAUGUAGGUUGUAGGUAGGGUUAGAUUUUUGCUCACAAGAGUAAGUAAAAUUCUAUAUGUUCUGCAUUGAAGAACGUAUGUAAAGGAAGCCAAAGAUAAGCUAGAAUGAUUUGAAUGUUGUGAAAAUGAAAUCGGAAGUGCCCCUGGAUUAUGCUGAAUUCCUUUUGUCAACAAAGCACUCGCAGUGAGGAUGUCUAGUUAAUUACAUUGGAUGUCAAUUUUUAAUAAGUGGCUGAAUGUUAUGUUUUCAGUCAUUUAUCUUCAGUUCCUAUUGGCUAGAUGUGAAUGGGUUUUUUCCAGCAACGGAAACACAGAGAAACUGGCAUCAGGAUUGGUUAAACCAUUUGUGGCACAUUUGAAGAUAGCAAAGGUACAUGUUGCAUUAGCUCAGCUGCAUAGUCAGUUAAACUUGAAUUGGAAGGCGUAAAAAUUCUGAGACGUGGUUCACGAAGGGAACACUUGAGAGGUAUUGCAAUUUGCAACUUGUUACGGAAUAUAUUCAAAUUAUCAAAUUUCAAGAUAAUGGUGAAUGGUGAUUCUUUUGUUAAGAUUUGUGCAAUUUGUGGACACGCUAGAGGUUUUGGAACUGGUUAAUACAUUAGAUGAUGAGAUGUCCCCACUAGAAGCAGCCCAAAGAAUAUAUUCACAGGUACAUGUACAAAUUCCAAGUCAUUGAAUAUUUCAUUUCAUUUGUUGCUUUUUCGUUGAUUUCACGUUAACAUAUUUAGUUCCGCAAAACUCUUAUAAAUGAAAACACUGAUUGCUUACUAGUUACUACGAUUUAGGGGCCCAAAAUUUGAAGUUCGCCUCAGGCCUUGCAGUACACAGGUACGGCACUGUCCGUGCAUGUGUUCCGCCAAGAGGUAAAGAGUGACUGGAAGUGUGCGGGAGUAAGGAUUUUCAGUGGGAACGAUGGGUUUAGGUAAAAGAUUUGUGAAAUUUUGUGGUCAAUUUAUGACGAAAAUUGAAAAAGUCUGGAAGCUACAACGUGUAGUAACGAUUAGAAAAAGAAAGAGGUAGAUAAAGAAGACAGUGGGAAAUUGAAAAGAACAGGAGGAAAAGGAUAAAAGAUCAAGAAAAAAGCAAACAAAAACGCGUUCGGUGUCUUGAUUUCCAGUGGGAAGGAAAAAGUGGUAAAUGACCGGUUGAU